rnacentral:rRNA from 1 species
GUAUCCUGGCUCAGGAUGAACGCUGGCGGCGUGCUUAAUACAUGCAAGUCGAACGAAGCACCUUGGACAGAAUCCUUCGGGAGGAAGACCAUUGUGACUGAGUGGCGGACGGGUGAGUAACGCGUGGGUAACCUGCCUGUACAGGGGAUAACAGUUGGAAACGACUGCUAAUACCGCAUAAGCGCACAGUACCGCAUGGUACCGGUGUGAAAAACUCCGGUGGUACAAGAUGGACCCGCGUCUGAUUAG